rnacentral:tRNA from 1 species
GGGAGAGUGGCUCAGUGGUAGAGUGCUUGCCUUGCAUGCAUGAGGACCUGGGUUCAAUUCCUCAGUACCA